UCGAGAAUUUUUCACAAUGGUCGCAAGACUGAUGGAGCGACGCCGCGUGGAGGAUGAAGGUUUUCGGAUUGUAAACUCCUGUCACUGCAGAACAAGGGUAUCCGGUUGAAUAUUCCGGGUAUUUGAUGGUAUGCGGAGAGGAAGGGACGGCUAACUCUGUGCCAGCAGCCGCGGUAAGACAGAGGUCCCGAGCGUUGUUCGGAUUCAUUGGGCGUAAAGGGUGUGUAGGAGGUCAGGUAAGUCAGGUGUGAAAUCUCGGAGCUUAACUCCGAAACUGCGCUUGAUACUGCUUGGCUGGAGGAUCGGAGGGGGCAACGGAAUUUAUGGUGUAGCAGUGAAAUGCGUAGAUAUCAUAAGGAACACCGGUGGCGAAGGCGGUUGCCUGGAAGAUUCCUGACUCUGAAACACGAAAGCCAGGGGAGCAAACGGGAUUAGAUACCCCCGUAGUCC
rnacentral:rRNA from 1 species